rnacentral:rRNA from 1 species
AGUGUAGGCGGAAUUAUAAGUUAGAAGUUUAAUUUACGGGCUCAACCCGUGAACUGCUUUUAAUACUGUAGUUCUAGAGUAUGGGAGAGGGUGAUGGAAUUCCAGGUGUAGCGGUGGAAUGCGUAGAUAUCUGGAAGAACACCAGUUGCGAAGGCGGCCGCCUGGCCCAAUACUGACGCUGAGGCUCGAAAGCUAGGGGAGCGAACA